rnacentral:rRNA from 1 species
CCUACGGGCGGCAGCAGUAGGGAAUCUUCCGCAAUGGACGAAAGUCUGACGGAGCAACGCCGCGUGAGUGAAGAAGGUUUUCGGAUCGUAAAACUCUGUUGUCAGAGAAGAACAAGUUGGAGAGUAACUGCUCCAGCCUUGACGGUAUCUGACCAGAAAGCCACGGCUAACUACGUGCCAGCAGCCGCGGUAAUACGUAGGUGGCAAAUUUUGUCCGGAUUUAUUGCAGGUAGUUCGAGAGCACGGAUGUGAAAGCCAACGGCUCAACCGUGGAAGGUCAUUGGAAACUGGGGAACUUGAGUGCAGAAGAGGAGAGUGGAAUUCCAUGUGUAGCGGUGAAAUGCGUAGAUAUAUGGAGGAACACCAGUGGCGAAGGCGACUCUCUGGUCUGUAACUGACGCUGAGGCUCGAAAGCGUGGGGAGCAAACAGGAUUAGAUACCCUUGUAGUC